CUCCUGCAUUUUUGUUACUGUUUCGUUUUUAGUUUACUAAACAGUGCUGAAGCAGGCCCUUCGGCCCACCGAAUCUGCGCCAACCAGCAAUCCCCGCACAUUAACACUAUCCUACACACACUA